rnacentral:rRNA from 1 species
GACGAACGCUGGCGGCGUGCCUAAUACAUGCAAGUCGAACGCAUUUUCUUUCACCGUAGCUUGCUACACCGAAAGAAAAUGAGUGGCGAACGGGUGAGUAACACGUGGGUAACCUGCCCAUCAGCGGGGGAUAACACUUGGAAACAGGUGCUAAUACCGCAUAAUUCCAUUUACCGCAUGGUAGAUGGAUGAAAGGCGCUUUUGCGUCACUGAUGGAUGGACCCGCGGUGCAUUAGCUAGUUGGUGGGGUAACGGCCUACCAAGGCUGCGAUGCAUAGCCGACCUGGGAGGGUGAUCGGCCACACUGGGACUGAGACACGGCCCAGACUCCUACGGGAGGCAGCAGUAGGGAAUCUUCGGCAAUGGACACAAGUCUGACCGAGCAACGCCGCGUGAGUGAAGAAGGUUUUCGGAUCGUAAAACUCUGUUGUUAGAGAAGAACAAGGAUGAGAGUGGAAAGUUCAUCCCUUGACGGUAUCUAACCAGAAAGCCACGGCUAACUACGUG